ACUGAAAUAAGGGUGUGGAGAAGUCAGAUUGCUUCUCUAACAACUAACGUUGGAAGAGAUCUCUUUCAUCAGUGUGCAUGCCUGUGCCAGGAGAAUGUAGCUGUAGUGGAGGCUUCGGGGAGGUG